rfam:Ruminococcus lactaris ATCC 29176 Scfld_02_29 genomic scaffold, whole genome shotgun sequence.
AAGUUAUACGGGCAAACUUGACGAAAGUCAGGGACGCAAAGCCAGAUGGGGCUAAAAUCCAGAGAGAUUUUGGAUAAUGCCAGCCGGUUACAAGA